CGCGUAGGCGGUUCGUCAAGUCCUGUGUGAAAUCCCCCGGCUCAACUGGGGAACUGCACAGGAAACUAGCGGGCUUGAGUUCGGGAGAGGGAAGCGGAAUUCCGGGUGUAGCGGUGAAAUGCGUAGAUAUCCGGAGGAACACCGGUGGCGAAGGCGGCUUCCUGGACCGACACUGACGCUGAGGCGCGAAAGCUAGGGGAGCAAACG
rnacentral:rRNA from 1 species